ensembl:lncRNA
CAGUUUCUUAUUUUUGCUGUGUUUGGCUGCUGUUGUUGUUGUUUUAUUUUCUGUUAUGUUUGUAUUUGCUGUAGUCAUUUCAGAUUAGCUGUUUUUCCUCUGGUAAAAGUGGUGCAUUUCAUUACAGUGAAUCUAAAGAUUCACCCUAUCCAAACAACACAUAUUUCUCCUCAAACUACUAUAAACAUGCCACAUUCCAGCUCUGCUAUUAUUCGAUGCGUUUCCAUUCAGUAACAACGCAUAAGAGAUUACAUACCAUUAUAUGAUAUGUAAUUGUAUGUGAUGUAUGUGAUGCUAAGAAACGAUGUAUGUGAUGCUAAGAAACGAUAUGUGUGAUUCUAAUUGUAUGUGAUGAUAAUUGUAUGUGAUGCUAAGAAAAGAUGUGAUGCUAAUUGUAUGUGAUGCUAAGAAAAGAUGUAUAUAAUGCUAAUUGUAUGUGAUGCUAAUUGUAUGUGAUGCUAUGAAAAAGAUGUAUGUGAUGCUAAUUGUAUGUGCUGCUAAGAAAAGAUGUAUAUAAUGCUAAUUGUACGUGAUGCUAAUUGUAUGUGAUGCUAAGAAAAAGAUGUAUGUGAUGCAAAUUGUAUGUGAUGAUAAUUGUAUGUGGUGCUAAGAAAAGAUGUGAUGCUAAUUGUAUGUGAUGCUAAGAAAAGAUGUAUAUAAUGCUAAUUGUACGUGAUGCUAAUUGUAUGUGAUGCUAAGAAAAAGAUGUAUGUGAUGCAAAUUGUAUGUGAUGAUAAUUGUAUGUGAUGCUAAGAAAAGAUGU